AGUCCUGAAGUUUGGCUCUCUAGCUCCGUCACUUGUGUAAACCAACUUACAUAACCUUCGUGAGCUUCAGUGUCUUUACCAUCCUUAUGGGAUGAUUGGGAAGAUGGAGUUAACACAGAACCUUUAAUCAUGGCUUCCAAGAUCGCCUUUUCUUCCCCUGGAGUAGCCACAUAAGAAGGUCAGAGCAGAAGCGUCAGAUACUAGGCUUCUGUGCAAAAGAACUUCUAUCAGAUACUGCCAUUUCAGGUUGCUUACUAAUUCAACGAGAAAGAGGUGCCUUUACCAAGAGAAGAGGGGCAUACCGCACCUGACCAAGGGAUCAAAUUAAGCAUGACAGUGAUCGACUGACACCAUGUGCCUUCUGAUGUGAUGGAGUGUAUUCUUAAAAAAAAUGUAUUUAGGGGCUUCCCUGGUGGCGCAGUGGUUGGGAGUCUGCCUGUGAAUGCAGGGGACACGGGUUCAAGCCCUGGUCUGGGAGGAUCCCACAUGCCGCGGAGCAACUAGGCCCGUGAGCCACAACUACUGAGCCUGCGCGUCUGGAGCCUGUGCUCCGCAACAAGAGAGGCCGCGAUAGUGAGAGGCCCGCGCACAGCAAUGAAGAGUGGCCCCCACUUGCCACAACUAGAGAAAGCCCUCGCACAGAAAUGAAGACCCAACACAGCCAAAAAUAAAUUAAUUAAUUAAUUAAAAUAAAUAAAGGAAUUCCUUUAAAAAAAAAAAUGUAUUUAACUCAAAUCCAAUCAUGAGUGAAUAAUCAACCAAAUUCACAUUGUGGAAACUUCUACAAGACUACUAGCAUGUACUCUUCAAAAAUGUCAGUGAAAGACAACUGAAAAGGCAGGGGAUAAUUCUUAACUAAAGGAGACCAAAGAGCUAAGACAA